rnacentral:rRNA from 1 species
AUUGAACGCUGGCGGCAGGCCUAACACAUGCAAGUCGAGCGGAUGAAGGGAGCUUGCUCCUGGAUUCAGCGGCGGACGGGUGAGUAAUGCCUAGGAAUCUGCCUGGUCGUGGGGGAUAACGUCCGGAAACGGGCGCUAAUACCGCAUACGUCCUGAGGGAGAAAGUGGGGGAUCUUCGGACCUCACGCUAUCAGAUGAGCCUAGGUCGGAUUAGCUAGUUGGUGAGGUAAAGGCCUACCAAGGCGACGAUCCGUAACUGGUCUGAGAGGAUGAUCAGUCACACUGGAACUGAGACACGGUCCAGACUCCUACGGGAGGCAGCAGUGGGGAAUAUUGCGCAAUGGGCGAAAGCCUGAUCCAGCAACGCCGCGUGUGUGAUGAAGGUCUUCGGAUUGUAAAACUCUGUAAGUUGGGAGGAACAGAAGUGUAAGUAUCUGUUCAUGUCUUGACGUUACCUAAACAGAAAGCCACGGCUAACUUCGUG